rnacentral:rRNA from 1 species
CUACGGGAUGCACCAGUGGGGAAUAUUGGACAAUGGGCGCAAGCCUGAUCCAGCAAUACCGCGUGUGUGAAGAAGGCCUGCGGGUUGUAAAGCACUUUCAAUUGUGAAGAAAAGCGAGGGCUUAAUACGCUCUUGUCUUGACGUUAACUUUAGAAGAAGCACCGGCUAACUCUGUGCCAGCAGCCGCGGUAAUACAGAGGGUGCGAGCGUUAAUCGGAAUUACUGGGCGUAAAGCGUACGUAGGCGGUUUAGUAAGUCAGAUGUGAAAGCCCUGGGCUCAACCUGGGAACUGCAUUUGAACUGAGAGACUAGAGUGUGGUAGAGGGAAGUGGAAGUCCGGGUGUAGCGGUGAAAUGCGUAGAUAUCCGGAGGAACACCAGUGGCGAAGGCGACUUCCUGGACCAACACUGACGCUGAGGUACGAAAGCGUGGGUAGCAAACAGGCUUAGAUACCCUAGUAGUC